rnacentral:rRNA from 1 species
CGACCGGCGCACGGGUGAGUAACGCGUAUCCAACCUGCCCACCACUUGGGAUAACCUUGCGAAAGUAAGACUAAUUCCCAAUGAUAUCUCUAGAAGACAUCUGAAAGAGAUUAAAGAUUUAUCGGUGAUGGAUGGGGAUGCGUCUGAUUAGCUUGUUGGCGGGGUAACGGCCCACCAAGGCGACGAUCAGUAGGGGUUCUGAGAGGAAGGUCCCCCACAUUGGAACUGAGACACGGUCCAA